UACGUAGGGUGCAAGCGUUGUCCGGAAUUAUUGGGCGUAAAGAGCUCGUAGGUGGCCUGUCGCGUCGGCUGUGAAAACUCGGGGCUCAACUCCGAGCUUGCAGUCAAUACGGGCAGGCUAGAGUUCGGCAGGGGAGACUGGAAUUCCUGGUGUAGCGGUGAAAUGCGCAGAUAUCAGGAGGAACACCGGUGGCGAAGGCGGGUCUCUGGGCCGAUACUGACACUGAGGAGCGAAAGCGUGGGGAGCGAACAGG
rnacentral:rRNA from 1 species